ACCAAACAACUACACCUAAGGAAAGAGGAUUCAAACCUCCGACAAAAAAUCCAAAAUUUUCCGUAUUAUCAAUUAUACUACUCCUUA
rnacentral:tRNA from 1 species